CUUUGCCUUUCAAAGCGAAGUUUGAAAUAUUGCCUGCGCGCCUCGUUCGUGGUUGUUUGAAGAUCCGUGUAAACUUCCCGGGUUCCCGAUCCGUGCCAUGAUGGAGGUGCCGUCGGCGUCGCCGGGCGGCGUGUCCGACGACGACGACGUUAGGCCCAGCGUGCUGGAAUCCACAGCCGCUGACCCCGGGGGCCUCGCGGGCCCGCGGGGUCGAGGUUACGACCUGCCGGAGAUCUCCCUGAUCUCCUCGCCUCAAGACGACCAGCCUUUAAGGAAAGAGGUGAAACAUGUGGGGAUACAUAUGGACAAAGAGGAUGAUGUGGAGAGAGUCCAAGUGUAUUUGCGUGUUCGGCCCGUGCUCGAGGCGGAGAAGGAACGUGGUGAGGAACAGGGCUGUGUCUUUAUUCACGACCAACAAACCGUGGUGCUGAAAGCCCCCACGGACUCGUUCAACAUGAAGGGCAUGGAAAGGGGUACUGCUCAGAGCAUGCACAAGUUCACUUUUACACAGAUAUCUGGACCUGAGACAACUCAGCAAGAGUUUUUUGAGUGUACCACGAAGGAGCUUGUGCAGGAGGUCCUACGUGGUGAGAACAGGCUGCUUUUCACGUAUGGCAUCACCAACUCUGGCAAGACAUACACCGUCCAGGGAACGAGCCAGAAGGCCGGCCUGCUCCCCCGGACACUGGUGGCCUUGUUUCGCAAGCUGCAGGGUCAUCUUUCCUGUGCGCUGGAGCUGAAACCAGUGCUGUGCCAGGAGGUGCGCGUCCUGGACCAUACCGAGGUCCAGGCUGAGGAGAUCCGCCGAGACAAACUGCUACACAUGACAGAGGGAAUGAUGUCCCAAAAUUCCCGGCUGC
rnacentral:lncRNA from 1 species